CCCCACAUCACCUUUCACCCCCCCUCACUAUCUGAGUACUCACCCACUAAUUUGUAGUAAUUUUAACACAAGUAUAUGUAGUUCUAGUGACUGCAGAUUACUUCACGUAUGCGCCAUAUGCCUAGGGACUCAUGACAAAACCAUGUGACCGUAUAAGUUGAAUCAAAUGUCAUGAAUGCAGAGAUAAAUAAGAAUUGACGAUCUACUUAUCACAUCCGUCCCCGCACUUGAUAGAAGAAU